AAUUCUCAACUUCAUCAGUUUUGUUAUGAGACUGUGUGAAGCUUGGAUGUGGGGGUUUGUGCAGAGCGCUUUCGAGCACACUGCUCCCCUUAAAUAUAUUAGCGAGUUCAAACUGGGCUCCGUCUAUUGGUGUGAUAAUUAUCUACGCCGUGGAUGGGGCUUAGACUUGCUUCUAACCGUCCGCAAGGACAAUCUUUUGACA
rnacentral:misc_RNA from 1 species